GCAAGUCUCUCGCUACAAUUUUAAAUCUGUUAAAAAAUUGACCAAGGAAAAGUUGCAAGAUGAUAUUGAAAAUGCAAAUAUUCAGUUUACUGAUCUGCAAACCAAACUGGUUUGGGAGAAAGAAGAUCAGAGAGAAGAAAAUGAAAGGAAAGAAAAGUCAAAAGGACUUGAAAAGAUUUCUGUGAGUUUUGUAUCAUAUGACAAGCAACUAGAACAAACAACCGAGGUGUUUGGAAACUUAUGAAUUCAAAUGGAGAUUGGAAUGCCAAGAAAUUUUGGGAAACAUUGUACUUUCCCUAUUUCGCUGAUAGUUUUUCGAAAUGUAUAAAUGUACAGCCAUUGUGAUAUAUUGUAUUAUAAAAAGUUAUUGUGAUAAAGAAAUAAUUUUUUUUGAUAAGUGGAAUGGCAAAAAGUUAAAAAGAAAUUUGUAGUUUGUUAGUAACAUGAAUUGGCUUAAAAACUUUGAUACGAAUGAUGUACAUUGUAAAGCAAGUUUAUUUCAAAAUGGCUUUAAAAUAGGUACACGAGGCACACAAUGACUCAAAUUGGAUAUUUCCAUUUUCAUUUUAUGAUUCAGGACAGAGAUAUGGGACAAGAGAGGUGGGGGUGCACAAUAAUGUAAAAUUUCAUUUAUUUUAAUUAUAUGAAGCAUUAUAUGAAGCAUUAUAUGAAGCAAUCUUUCCAAGGAUAUCUUUGAAAAUCAUGGAUUAGCAAUGAUGAUAGUCACUGUUGUUAGUACUUUGAUUGUUAGUCUGUACCUUGAUAUACUGGUCAUGCAUAAUGUGUAAAUCAAAAUUCAAUGAAAAUAUUUAGCCAUAAGUAUAUUUUGAAUAAAAUGUAAAAUAUCUAAGCUGAAA